UUAUUUUCUGUGACUAUUAAUAUUCAAAAUGACUUUGGUAACAUGACCAAUUUAACCAGUGUAUUAUUUUGUCACAUGAACUGUACAGAAGGUACAAAAAAAAUGGAGCAACACCUCAGGUGGAACUAUUAUUUCAAGGCAGGUGCAACCCAGUUGCUUUAGGGGGAUGGACUUCCGCCCAUUUUUCAGAUGCAAUCUGAGAGGCAAACCGAGUGCACUGUCUUCAUUGCUCCUGAACUUUACCUGUAUUUGCAGGGAUUUCUUCUUUGUUAUUGUGGCACCAUUCCUGGGGCCCGUAACAU